rnacentral:lncRNA from 1 species
GUUCAGGUCAGAUCAUCUAGCUGGUAACAAGGGCCAUAAACCCUUAUCAGUGUUCUUAGACCCAAUGUUUGUUUCUCCUGGAUCCUUCUCUGCUUGGACCUGAACUAACCUAUUUUUCAGUCAACCCAUAAGGAAUUUCCUUUUUCCACCCAGCAUUCCUGUAUACUUCCUCCUCCUAGUCUUGGGCAAAGGUGACUUUUCUGAGGUCAAUUAGGGUACCAGGUCUGAGAAUGGGUAAUACAUAUACAUGGAGCCAACCUCAGAAGGUUCCAAAAGGGAUACCAAGCAGUAAUCUCAUUCUAACUCUUGUCUUCCAAUUCCCCAGUUCUCCUCUCCUGAAUUUCUUCUGUAUCCUUCCAUAGAUAGCCCAUGCAUAAGUAAGCAUAUGUGUAUCCACAUCCUUUAUAC